GUUUUCACAGCCACAAGUCAAGCAGAGUGAUCCCCCUUGUCAGGAAAGAUGGAAUCACAAAAGGAUGGCGGUGCGACACAGCUUGCAGUGGCCACUCCAGAGCUGAAUAUCUGUUAUUUGUGAAGUGGGGUGCUGUGCACAAUCAUAGUCGAUUGAAAAAGGACGUGAGAGCACGGAGGAAAAUCGGGAAAUCUCCAGGAAGACCUUCUUAGUUGCUGCUGCUGCUGUGAGGUCCGGGACUCUGCUGGGAAGAACAGGCCUCCAGUCCUCUGGGUCACGUUGCCGUUGGCCGUUGGCGGGGGCAUCUUAAUACGCUCGGCAGAGGAUGGUGCUGGGAGAAGCUGUGCCGGAGGGGAUGGUCAUCGGCUCAGAGGUUCGAUGGACUCAGAGUCCACUGCAGUCAGGUCGCUUUCGGUGUGCGCUGCGUCUGUGAGGCUGGGUUCGGCAGAGGUCAAAACAUUUAAUGGCUGUGGAGGAUUUC